rnacentral:rRNA from 1 species
AGCAGUCGCCGCGGUAAUACAGAGGGUGCGAGCGUUAAUCGGAUUUACUGGGCGUAAAGCGUGCGUAGGCGGCUUCUUAAGUCGGAUGUGAAAUCCCUGAGCUUAACUUAGGAAUUGCAUUCGAUACUGGGAAGCUAGAGUAUGGGAGAGGAUGGUAGAAUUCCAGGUGUAGCGGUGAAAUGCGUAGAGAUCUGGAGGAAUACCGAUGGCGAAGGCAGCCAUCUGGCCUAAUACUGACGCUGAGGUACGAAAGCAUGGGGAGCAAACAGGAUUAGAUACCCGCGUAGUCCCUGUCUCUUAUAU